GAAACUCGCCUAUAUGAAGUCGGAAUUGCUAGUAAUCGCAGAUCAGCAUGCUGCGGUGAAUACGUUCCCGGGCCUUGUACACACCGCCCGUCACACCAUGAGAGUCGAUAACACCCGAAGCCUGUAGUCUAACCAUAAGGGGGACGCAGUCGAAGGUGGGAUUGAUAAUUAGGGUGAAGUCGUAACAAGGUAGC
rnacentral:rRNA from 1 species